CAGAUAGAGUGACAGAAAGUGAAGCACAGCUAGACAUACAGAUAGAGAUAGAGUGACAGAGAGUGAGGCACAGCUAGACAUACAGAUAGGGUGACAGAGAGUGAAGCACAGCUAGACAUAGAGAUAGAGUGACAGAAAGUGAGGCAGGCAGGCAUAGCUAGACAUAGAGAGAGAGAGUGUGACGGAGUGAGGCACAACUAGAGAGAGAGAGUGACUGAGUGAGGCAGGCAGGCACAGCUAGAAAUACAGAGAGAGAUGGAGUGA